rnacentral:sRNA from 1 species
GGUAAGAAGCCAAUGUUGAAACCUUAAAUGUCUGAUACAAGUUAGUUGAUCAUAGCCAGACUCCAUUUAUUUGACGUCAUUUGCCUUGCACUUGUAGUUCUUAUUCCAAUGUAUCUCAGCAGUUUCUAAGUAUAAGCAAACUAGUAAUGUUAUAAUAUUCAAAUACCAGUCUCCUAUAUUCUGGCUUUAUUAUGAGGUACAGGUUUGAGAGUUACUGUAAGAGCAGUUUUAAAAUAGCUAGUAUCAAUAUCUUGUUAUAAUCCAAUCCGAAUACUAGCAGUGAUGUUAAGUUGAAAACAAAUGGCUUGCAUUGCAUAUAUACUAGCAAUAGUUUAGUGUCAGCAUUUCCCCCUUAUUUUAUUCAUGUAAUGCUAAUUAGUAAUGGAAUCUGAAUCUAGAAUCGAGGAUUUGGUUAUCAGAAGAGGCUAGAUAUAUCAAAUGCAGCAAUCCCUGCCAUGUGAACAUUGAAGCUUAUGCCUUACACAGUAAUAAUGGUUUCUGCCAGGUGCUCAUCUUCCUGGCUGGCUUAGCAGCAGGGCCUUCUUUUUCCCUCCUCACUUGAUUUGCUACACCUACACUCACCCCUUCUGUCUGAGCCUCUGCCACCUCAGUGCAGGUGACAGCCCUGGCAGGAUAGGCUGGCAGCUGAGGAGAAAAGAGAUAGAAUUGAUCCUCACUAGAGAGAUGUUUCCCUUCCCUUCCUCUGUUCCUUGGUCUCUGCCCUCUGGCCUCAGUCCGGUUGCUGUCAUUAGCAGCUCAGAGCUGAGGCUGCCUCUGGCAUGUCCCUGAAGCCCAUUGGAAUCUAAAUGCUGUGGAGGGCUGGCUCCUCUUGUGCUGUUAGGUUGAGAACCCAACUCUCCAUGUUGCCUUCUUGUGAAUUAGUUUGGGAACUGAACCGUCACUAUAAGAGUCUGUGCCUGUCAAAGAAUGCAUUUCAGGUUUUAAAGAGCUGAGUUACCAACGCUCAUUGGAAUGCAGGUGGGGAUUGCUCUGCAUCUUCAUGCAUUUGGCCACAGAUGCACAGCCUGCUUGCUGGCUACCCUGCAGUUUCUUCCAUUCCAGUGUCCUAGUUGUUAAACUUGAUGAACGAAUAUGUUGGUGGUUAUUUUUUUAAUAGGAGAAAAAUAAAGCUGGAGAUAUAAAAACAGCUGCUGAAAAAACAGCUACAGACAAGAAACGAGAGCGAAGGAAAAAGAAAUAUCAAAAGCGUAUGAAAAUAAAAGAGAAGGAGAAGCGGAGAAAACUGCUUGAAAAGAGCAGUGUAGAUCAAGCAGGGAAAUACAGCAAAACAGUAGCUUCGGAGAAGUUAAAACAGCUGACCAAAACUGGCAAAGCUUCCUUCAUAAAGGAUGAAGGUAAAGACAAGGCCUUAAAGUCCUCUCAAGCAUUCUUUUCUAAAUUACAAGAUCAAGUAAAAAUGCAAAUCAAUGAUGCAAAGAAAACAGAAAAGAAAAAGAAGAAAAGACAGGAUAUUUCUGUUCAUAAAUUAAAGCUGUAAUAUAUUUUGAAUAUAAUGUAAAUAUUAAUGUGUAAGCUUAUAUUGUGUCAUUGUUCUGUUUUAUAAUAAAAUUCUUGAGAACCUUC